rnacentral:rRNA from 1 species
CUUUUGGAGUUUGCCCGUAGGUCAGUUUUGCCUACCACAGCGGGUCCGCCUGCUAGUUGACGCCCGUCAGCAACACGCUCAACAUGCGGAGAGAGCCUGCGAGGCAAACCCGCAGCUGCCGCGGCAGUUCAGAGACUCGACGAGCGUGGGCUCAGCUGGGGAAGCUGAGUUUGAGAUAGAGCCCGACCCUGCUGGGAAUGGCAGGGAGCGAUCGGAACCUGCGGAAGGAUCAUUAAAGAAUACCCGGCCUUGAGGCCUUAUUCUCACCCUUUGUAUACCAAACCAUGUUGCCUUGGCGGCGCCGUACAGGCCCCAAAAACCGCCAGAGGACCUGAAACCCUAGCAUCUCUGCUGUCUGAGUCGCUAUAUAAUAGUUAAAACUUUCAACAACGGAUCUCUUGGUUCUGGCAUCGAUGAAGAACGCAGCGAAAUGCGAUAAGUAAUGUGAAUUGCAGAUAUCAGUGAAUCAUCGAAUCUUUGAACGCACAUUGCACCUCCUGGCAUUCCAGGAGGUAUGCCUGUUCGAGCGUCAUUACAACCCUCACGCACAGCGUGGUGUUGGGCUCGCCCUUGAGGGCCUGCCUCAAAUGCAGUGGCGGCACCGUAUAACCCCUAAGCGUAGUACUGCUCGUCGCUUGUGGGCGUUGGGCGGCGGCCUGUCAGGAACCCCUACAUCUUAUGGUUGACCUCGGAUCAGGUAGGGAUACCCGCUGAACUUAAGCAUAUCAAAA